rnacentral:misc_RNA from 1 species
GAUGAAGAACGUAGCGAAAUGCGAUAAGUAAUGUGAAUUGCAGAAUUCAGUGAAUCAUCGAAUCUUUGAAUGCACAUUGCGCCCCCUGGUAUUCCGGGGGGCAUGCCUGUUCGAGCGUCAUUUCACCACUCAAGCCUCGCUUGGUAUUGGGCAAUGCGGUCCGCCGCGUGCCUCAAAUCGACCGGCUGGGUCUUCUGUCCCCUAAGCGUUGUGGAAACUAUUCGCUAAAGGGUGUUCGGGAGGCUACGCCGUAAAACAACCCCAUUUCUAAGGUUGACCUCGGAUCAGGUAGGGAUACCCGCUGAACUUAAGCAUAUCAAUAAGCGGGGA